rnacentral:rRNA from 1 species
UGUGGGAGGGACGAAAGACUGAGGUCUAAUAGGCUUCAGGUUGACGGUACCUCCUUAGCAAGCACCGGCUAACUCUGCGCCAGCAGCCGCGGUAAGACAGAGGGUGCAAACGUUGCUCGGAAUCACUGGGCGUAAAGGGCGUGUAGGCGGGAAGGAAAGUCAGAUGUGAAAUCCCCAGGCUCAACCUGGGAACUGCAUUUGAAACUCCCUUUCUUGAGUACCGGAGAGGAAAGUGGAAUUCCUGGUGUAGAGGUGAAAUUCGUAGAUAUCAGGAGGAACACCAGUGGCGAAGGCGGCUUUCUGGACGGUAACUGACGCUGAGACGCGAAAGCGUGGGGAGCAAACAGGAUUAGAUACCCUGGUAGUCCACGCUGUAAACGAUGAGCGCUAAGUGUCGUGGGUAUUGACCCCCGCGGUGCCGUAGCUAACGCAUUAAGCACUCCGCCUGGGAAGUACGGUCGCAAGACUA